CCGGGACUGACCUGAAGUGGGGUGUAAAACUAAAGCCUGGACAACCCAAGAGGGUUUCCUGAGGAGGAGCUCUAUGUGCCCUGAGCCCAGCACAGCGUGGCUGGUGCAUUUCUCCUGGCUUGCUUGGCACAGAACUCUGAAGCUUUUUGGGCAGGGCAAACUCUCAGUGUUGCUGUCACCACCACGUGCUUGAAGCAAAGCAAAUGGGCAGUGGCAAACACCCUGGCUGGCAAGCAGAAGCACAGCCUCCCCCUGUGAGGAAGAGUCACAUCCACCUGGAAUGGGAACAUUUUGGAGGGUGCUGGAGUGGGUGGUGGCCAGCCAAAACCUUUCCAUGGUUUCCCCACUUUCCCAGCCUGUGGCUCUGGAGAUCUGAGUGCAACUGGCCACCACCAGCCUGCAGGAGUCCUGCUGGCAUUGCUCUGAAAGAACUACUGACCUGUGUUUCUUUGGGGAAAAACAUCCCUCAGGGCAGACUCUUCUAAUCCUUGUUUCCCUUCACUGAGAGGAGUAUAAAAGCCAGGAGGAGAAAAAAGCUGAGGUUUCAUAUCUCAGGUUGAUUUUGCAGCACAGACAAAAAAAGAAAGCGAGCUUCUCCUCUUGUUUGGAGCUGAA